rnacentral:misc_RNA from 1 species
CUUCAUAUAGUUCUCCGGGUGUUUUCCACUCUCUAUAUGACUCCUGUACCUCCCAAGAAAUGACCUGUAAGCUGGGAUCAACUUCUCUGAUAUAGAUAUUCGAAGCUCCUCCCUCAGUUGAUUAUCUGGCACCAACCAUGUUGCUUGAGUCCUAUGAACCUCUUCAAGCAUAGCAUUGAAGGUCUUAAACCUCUCCCUCAAAGCACUCCUUGACACCCCAGAAGAGAAACUCCCACUCACGUGUAACCCCUCAUCCCUCAAGCAAUACAACACCCUCACCCAAGUAGCUCUCUGAUAACUAGUGGCUGCCUGCCUGAAUUUCCCCGUUAGUUUCCUCAAGUAAUCGUCUCCAAUCAUUUCUCUUAGUUCAGGUGACCCUUUAACCUUUUGAACAAUGUAGUGAACAUUGUUCAUCAUAAACAGAUGCGCUAAUGAUACGUCUUUGUAAUGCUUGGACUUGCCGUCCAAAUUGAAUUGCAGAAUUACAAUAAUCCAAAUCAAAUGAAUGGCUAAUGGGGUUUUCCCCUCUAACUCAGCAAAUUCCAUAUCUGGGGUUGUUGAAUCACCAGAAUAUCUUGACCCCGUUGAUGGUUUCGACAAAAUAAGCUCGAUCAAGGUCUGUUUAUA